AGGUCCUCGCUGCUCCUCUCCAUUGAAAUGUGAAAUCGACACGGAGGCGGCGACGGGAACGUGAUGAAGGUGAGGCCUGCGGGAAGCUUCCACGUCAUACCGCCAGACAGCAGCCCUCGUGUUGGCAAUCCAGGACGACUGACUUAGAAGGAAGAUUACCACCCGCCGCAGCUUGUAGGCAAUCAAUGACCGCCCG